AUUUGCCUGUAAUGACUUUGAAUUAUUUUAAUAGCUUUUUAUGACAUUCAAUAUAUAAGUUUAUGCUAUUGAACGUGGUUUUGAUAAAAUUUUAAUCCAACAUAUUUAAUUAUUUUAAAAUAAAGGACACGUUCCUAAACAAUUAAUUCUUUUUAAACGACUUGUUAAAAUCUGGUUCGGUACAUGAGCAAAUAAUGGGCCAAAUAUCUAUCAUAGAUUUCUAAUCUUAUAUAAGUAACACUUCACAAUAAUAAUAUAGUUUAUACGAAAUCAUAUCAAAAGAGAAAGUUCCAUAGCUAUACAAAUUUUUUUCCCCUUCUUAAUAAAGAGAAAUUGAAUUUAAAUCGAAAUUAUCAUAGGUUGGUUCAAUAUCGAGAGAUUUUUUUUCAGGAGUGCGCGUAUAUUGAAUACUAUCAUGAUCAGCCGGAUGGCCGCGUAGUAAAGCAGUCUCUUAUACUUUGUUUCAAUUCUGAGUCACGCAUCUCUAAUUUUUCGUGAGGGAUUCGUGGCCAGCAUUGAAUCCCAUUCUCAAUCUUUCCGGUUGACUCCACUACAAGUGUUGGCUAUUAAGUAACAGCCAUAUCAGACAUGGGAUAUUUUGUAUUUGAUGGCGGCCACUUUUGUAGCCCAUUACAAUUUGGAUAACAUCCAUGGUGAGGUCAACCGAAAGAUUGGCGGAUGAGGAAAAUUGGAAGUGUGAGACCGGAUUUGAACCCGGAAAGGGGCCAUUCGGCCGCGUGGUUAGUUCUUUUUAAACGACAUGUUAAAAUUUGAUUUGGCAUAUAAGGGUUUCUGAUUAAUUAACCACGUGGCCAUCCGGUUGAUCUAAAAAAAGAUUCGGCGGCUUAGGAUUGAAAUUAGGCUAAUUUUAAUUAUCAUUCAUCUAGCAGCCGACUCCAUCAUGGGUAUGAAUGGGCGUGAUAACCCGUCACUUAGUACGCCGCAAAAAGAUGAAAGUGGAAUAAAAAAAGAUAUGUAAAGACUUUACUGAAGUUAAUGUUUUUUUCCCGAUAGAUGACGCCACUUUCCACUAUGUUGAAUAUUAAAUGGCGGGAGCGAAAAGGGGUCUUACCAGAGACUGCCCACCUCGGUGGAGAGAGAAGCAGAAUUGUAGAGAAUGAGGAUUGACAACCGGAUUCGGAUCCUUGAAUAAAAUUUUCCAAAGGAUGGGGUGGGACCUAGAACAGAAUUCUUCGGCUCCUCUGAGAAAGCCGAAGAGUUUCCACGUGUCAAAUCCAGUCGACUAACAUUUACAGUUAAUUUUAACUAUGCUUCUCCAAUUUUACAAGAUAUACAGCACUGUAUUUAUAUGCCAGCAGCUAUUUCAGAGCCUAUUAUGAAUUAAUCACCAUCUUUGAUGACUAACCGGAAGGCUGAAGAAUAAGGUCCAAUGCGUUCGAAAAUAAAUUUGAGCGACAGUGAAUUGAUUUCUGCCUCAAGUUGAAUCCUGCCGCCGCUCCAACUGAUACAUUUGAAUUUUUAACAAUUGAACUUUUCCUAAAUACUUAUAAAUUGAAACAGAAUGACCAACAAAUCAAUCUAAUAAAAAUGGAUCAAUGCAUACAGAAUGUUGAAUCUAUUGUGGAAUUAAUCUGAUCUCUAUAGAGAUUUUAAUGCGUUAAAGUUUUGUUUGAAUUUUAGUUAAGCCGCCAUAUUGCACAUGAUAUAUAUUGUACUAUAUCUAGUAGUGGCUAUUUUUAGCGCUCAUUACGAAGUGGCUAAUAUUCAUGACGGAUUAGGUUAUUGCACGAGGGAUAUACUAUAUCUGGCUGAGGCCACUUAUAGAAUUCAUCGGGGACUGGUCAACACCCAUGAUGGGGUUAACCGGAUGGUUGAAGGAUGGGAUUCAAUGGACCGGGCCCAAAUUCCUCCUGAAAAACUGGAGGUGUGGGACUGGAAUUUGAGCCCGGACCAUACAGGAUGG
rnacentral:lncRNA from 1 species